AGUGAACGCUGGCGGCAUGCCUAACACAUGCAAGUCGAACGGAAACACCAUUAGGGUGUCCGACUAGUGGUGGCGGGGGGAGUAAGAGUUAGGAAUGCAUCUAGUACUGCUUUGUCACGGCUCAAAACGGUAGCUAAUACCGCAUAAUAUCUAAUAAUGACAACGGGGGACAUCAGGGGCUUUUGCUACUUUUGCGGCUGAUGGCGGAUUAGGUAGUUGGUGGGAUAAAGGCUUACCAAGGCGACGAUCCGUAGCUGGUCUGAGAGGAUGAGCAGCCACACUGGAACUGAGACACGGUCCAGACUCCUACGGGAGGCAGCAGUGGGGAAUCUUGGACAAUGGGCGCAAGCCUGAUCCAGCAAUGCCGCGUGCGUGAUGAAGGCCUUCGGGUUGUAAAACGCUUUUGUUGGGAAAGAAAAGCAGUCUGCUAAUACAGGGGGGUCCUGACGGUACCGAAAGAAUAAGCACCGGCUAACUACGUG
rnacentral:rRNA from 1 species